GGAAGCGCGUCGGUCGCUGGUGGGCCGCCCGGUCUUCAAAACCGGUGUGGGGGGUGAGAAACUUCCCAGGUGGGUUCGAUUCCCAUGCGCUUCCGCCA
rnacentral:tRNA from 3 species